CAUUGAAACACCAGCUCCCAUACGAUCACCAAAGUUAAGCAAUGUAGGGCCUGGUCAGUUCCUAGAUGGGUGAUCAAUUGGGGAAUACCAGGUUUUGUA